rnacentral:misc_RNA from 1 species
AGAGUAAAAUAGUACGUGAAAUUGUUGAAAGGGAAACGAUUGAAGUCAGUCGUACCGACGAGAAAUCAGCUUAUCGUGUGUGAAUUUGUGGACGUGCGUGAGUUUCGGCCUCGCUGUUUGCAUGUUUGUGCGUUUUGGGUGCACUUUUUCGUAUGGUAGGCCAACGUCAGUUUCGAUCAUCAUAAAAUGGCCGGCGGAAUGUGGCUUCGACCUCGGUUGAAGUGUUAUAGCCUUUGGUAGAUGUGGUGAUUGGGACUGAGGAUUGCAACGAAUAUCCUUUGGGCUAUCCGUCUGACCUCUGAAAGUCGCUCAGGUGUCGAAAGCUUGCUUACGGUUAUCUAAGUUUGACAGUCAAUAGGUUAGAACGUGAUUACAUUCGUUAAGGACGUUGGCGUAAUGGCUUUAAACGA